rnacentral:misc_RNA from 1 species
GAUGAAGAACGCAGCGAAAUGCGAUAAGUAAUGUGAAUUGCAGAAUUCAGUGAAUCAUCGAAUCUUUGAACGCACAUUGCGCCCGCCAGUAUUCUGGCGGGCAUGCCUGUCUGAGCGUCAUUUCAACCCUCAUGCCCCUAGGGCGUGGUGUUGGGGAUCGGCCAAAGCCCGCGAGGGACGGCCGGCCCCUAAAUCUAGUGGCGGACCCGUCGUGGCCUCCUCUGCGAAGUAGUGAUAUUCCGCAUCGGAGAGCGACGAGCCCUUGCCGUUAAACCCCCAACUUUCCAAGGUUGACCUCAGAUCAGGUAGGAAUACCCGCUGAACUUAAGCAUAUCAAUAAGCGGAGGA